rnacentral:rRNA from 1 species
UCUAAGUAUGACCUGCCAGACAGGGGAACUGCGUACGGCUCAUUACACCAGCCUUUAUUUACUUGACCUUGACAACCUACUUGGAUAACUGUGGUAAUUCUAGAGCUAAUACAUGCACCAAAGCUCCGAUCCUCGCGGAGAGGAGCGCAUUUGUUCGCCACAAAACCAAGCGCCCAUCUGGGCGUCCAGUGCUGAACCAGAACAACUCAGCUGAUCGCACGGUCUUGUACCGGCGACGUGUCUUUCAAGUGUCUGCCUUAUCAACUUUCGAUGGUAGUGUACCUGACUACCAUGGUUGUGACGGGUAACGGAGGAUAAGGGUUCGACUCCGGAGAAGGGGCCUGAGAAAUGGCCACUACGUCUAAGGAUGGCAGCAGGCGCGCAAAUUACCCACUCUCUACGCGAGGAGGUAGUGACGAGAAAUAACGAGACCGUUCUCAUACGAGGCCGGUUAUUGGAAUGGGUACAAUUUAAA